UUUCCGUAGGUGAACCUGCGGAAGGAUCAUUAUUGAAAUAAACCUGAUGGGUCGUUGCUGGUUCUCUAGGGAGCAUGUGCACGCCUUGUCAUCUUUAUAUCUCCACCUGUGCACUUUUUGUAGGCCUUUCAGGCCUAUGUUGCUUCAUUUACCCCAAUGUAUGUUAAUAGAAUGUUGUGCCUAUAUAAUAUAUACAACUUUCAGCAACGGAUCUCUUGGCUCUC
rnacentral:misc_RNA from 1 species